AUCGANGAAGAACGCAGCGAAAUGCGAUAAGUAGUGUGAAUUGCAGAAUUCAGUGAAUCAUCGAAUCUUUGAACGCACAUUGCGCCCCUUGGUAUUCCAUGGGGCAUGCCUGUUCGAGCGUCAUUUGUACUCUCAAGCCUUGCUUGGUGUUGGGUGCUUGUCUUUGCUUUGCGUAGACUCUCCCUAAAUACAUUGGCAGCCGAUAUAUUGGUUUGAAGCGCAGCACAAUUGCUAUUCAGGCUUGUUGUAUCAGCAUCCACAAAGAAUGAUAACACUUUUGACCUCGGAUCAGGUAGGGAUACCCGCUGAACUUAAGCAUAUCAAUAAGCGGAGGAAAAGAAACCAACAGGGAUUGCCCUAGUAACGGCGAGUGAAGCGGCAACAGCUCAAAUUUGAAAUCUGGCUCUUUCAGGGUCCGAGUUGUAAUUUGCAGAGGGCGCUUUGGCAUUGGCAGCGGUCCAAGUUCUUUGGAACAGGACGUCACAGAGGGUGAGAAUCCCGUACGUGGUCGCUAUCCUUUGCCGUGUAAAGCCCCUUCGACGAGUCGAGUUGUUUGGGAAUGCAGCUCUAAAUGGGAGGUAAAUUUCUUCUAAAGCUAAAUACUGGCCAGAGACCGAUAGCGCACAAGUAGAGUGAUCGAAAGAUGAAAAGCACUUUGGAAAGAGAGUCAAAUAGCACGUGAAAUUGUUGAAAGGGAAGCGCUUGCAGCCAGACUUGCCUGUAGUUGCUUAUCCGGACUUUUGUCCGGUGCACUCUUCUGCGGGCAGGCCAGCAUCAGUUUGGGCAGUUNGGAUAAAGGUCUCUGUCAUGUACCUCUCUUCGGGGAGGCCUUAUAGGGGAGACGACAUGCAACUAGCCUGGACUGAGGUCCNCGCAUCUGCUAGNAUGCUGGCGUAAUGGCUGUAAGCGGCCCSNCUUGAAACMCGG
rnacentral:rRNA from 1 species